rnacentral:rRNA from 1 species
AGCGAACGCUGGCGGCAGGCCUAACACAUGCAAGUCGAACGGAUCCUUCGGGAUUAGUGGCGGACGGGUGAGUAACACGUGGGAACGUGCCCUUUGGUUCGGAACAACUCAGGGAAACUUGAGCUAAUACCGGAUGUGCCCUUCGGGGGAAAGAUUUAUCGCCAUUGGAGCGGCCCGCGACUGAUUAGCUAGUUGGUGAGGUAAAGGCUCACCAAGGCGACGAUCAGUAGCUGGUCUGAGAGGAUGAUCAGCCACAUUGGGACUGAGACACGGCCCAAACUCCUACGGGAGGGAGCAGUGGGGAAUCUUGCGCAAUGGGCGAAAGCCUGACGCAGCCAUGCCGCGUGAAUGAUGAAGGUCUUAGGAUUGUAAAAUUCUUUCACCGGGGACGAUAAUGACGGUACCCGGAGAAGAAGCCCCGGCUAACUUCGUGCCAGCAGCCGCGGUAA